GCGGGUCUUCCCCUCCCCAGGGGCACCCAGCAUGCUUUGGGCACGUGGCAGCUCAUGUCCUAAAUAGGAGUAGUCCUGGGCCGCUAUCCUGUGAGGGUGGAGACGCUCCCCGAGACUGGACAGACACCGAGAGGUGGAGCUGAGCCAAUACGAGGCUAAGGGAAUUCCAUGUAUUCCAGUUAUCCUGAGCUCACGUACAGCAGAGGAUACCCCCGAGUUUCACCGCCAUCUCUUACUAGGAUUCCAGGUGUGUGGCACUGCCUCUUGAAGUAUUAAGCGCUGAGUGAAGUGUGAGCCCAGGACUUCUUGCUUGCUGGGCUGUCCCAUCCCUGUGCCAUCUCUGCAGCCCUUGGAGGUAGUGCUUGAAUUGAAGUUGUCUCUUUCUGGGUGAUUCCAGGUUGUGUCAAGUUGACAAAACCAACCAGGCUACACUACACCUGCCAUUUUGUACUCUAUGAAGCAGCACACUCAGUGUUGACAAGUAUCAAAUCAAAGUAUUAGUUCUGAAAAAUAUUGAAGAGGUUCUACAUGGAGAACUGUCAAAUAUUCAGCCAAGCUUGACUGAUUGUUUUUUGAAUUAAGACAGGGUUUUACUCUAGCCUUGGCUGUCUGUAUGUCGAUCAGGUUGGUCUAGAACUCAAGAGAGUUUUGCCUGCCUCUGCCUUUCACGUGCUAGGAUUAAAGGCAUGCACCACUAUACCCAGCCUUCAGCCAAGAGUUAUAUAAAAAUAAAUCCAUCUUAUUAGUAUGAAAA
rnacentral:lncRNA from 1 species